GUGUCUUCUUGGAAAUAUCUGAUAAAAUUGAAACGAUAUAGAGAAAAUUAGCAUAGCCCCUGCACAAAGCUGACACGCACAAAAAAAAUAUAAAAUGUUUUUUU